rnacentral:lncRNA from 1 species
AUCGGUUACAGGGCUGGACCCAAAAAGCCCUUGUUGGGACUUUAUCGAUGGGCUUAAGCCUAACAUCGGAGACAGGAUACAAAUGUUCAAGCCUAGGAACCCUGAAGGAAGUAAUUAGGUUGGCUCAAAUAAAUGAGGAAUAACUGGCCCAACAGACAAGGAUCCAACGGGUCGGACGAAACCCAUUUUUUGCCUCAGCAACUAGCCCUCCUUAAAACCCCGCACUUGAAGGAGGUGAGUCG